ACAUAUUAAGCAGGUAGUUCUCGAGCGCGCCGAUCGUUUUUGUAGCUCAUUUGGCUUGUUUGCACUUGGGUAGUGUGGACGGAAAGAAAUCACAGAUUGUUUAGAGGCUCAACAAAUACUCCUCAUCAAAUGCUGGACAAGAUCAAACUAUUUUCCUAUAGGUGGUUAAAGACGACGAGUGUUACUUUAAUCUCAAACUACCGUAGUUGAUGGUCUAGUCCUUUGCUAUGUUUGGGCCUUGUAUGAUUGUUUGUAUUUCUUUCGGUGACUAUUUGUAAACUUUGAUAGUCUAUCUUGGCACAUCU
rnacentral:lncRNA from 1 species